AGGGGACCAAUCUCAGGCGAAAAUUUGCUCCAUGGUCUCCAGGCUGCCUUAGCAGCUUGAAUCAAAUCUCGCGCAAGGCAGCAUGGGAACACCCAGGCUAGUGGCUAACUUGGGACCAAGCACUGAUCUAUGCUGACAACUGUGAGGGGGGUGAAAUUUUUUUUUUUUUUUUUUUUUCUAACUCAUUAGUUUAGAUCACAUUUAGAUAUAAAAUAGAUGAAUAAUUAAGGUCGUGGUCGGCUUGAUGGACGACUGACGUCGAGGCAUACAGCAGCAGACGUUGCCAGCUGAGUGGAAAGUGGAAACCCUGAAACUUUGACGUCUCAGCCAUGAUUAUACACAAAGUUACCACAUCCUUUCUGAACAUCUUUAUUCAAAAAGCUGACAUAAAAUGGUUUGCUAAGCUAUUAAUUGAAGCCUACUAACCGACACUUUCAGAAGACUUCGUUCCAGUUUUUUCAGUUUCCCUGUAGGUAAUCCAGACAGGCUGGGUGCUGGAGAGGGCUCUGGACUCCUAACUUCAAUUCUCGUCUGUGCAGUCAACACUCAGAAGCAUCACUUCAGCACUGAUGCCAUGAUCUGGAACAUUUUGAAAUCCUACCAGAUGGGGCAGAAGUCAUUGAGCAGUGGCAGCUUCUGAUUUCAAGGACUUUGUUCACCUUUAUUUACAGCAUUUGCAUCUGUGUCUUUAAAGUGAUCUAAUAUGUAUUGACUAUGAACUAGCUUAGUACAUAUUAGUUUUUGAUAUUUUAGUUUCACAAAUUCAGUGGUUACCUGUAAUGCUCAAGAUAUACAAGUAAAAAAUCACCUUUA